rnacentral:rRNA from 1 species
GUUAGGAAUAUUGGGCAAUGGUCGGAAGACUGACCCAGCCAUGCCGCGUGCAGGAAGACAGCCCUCUGGGUUGUAAACUGCUUUUAUCUGGGAAGAAAAAGGCCAUGCGUGGCAAAUUGCCGGUACCAGAUGAAUAAGCACCGGCUAACUCCGUGCCAGCAGCCGCGGUAAUACGGAGGGUGCGAGCGUUGUCGGGAUUUAUUGGGUUUAAAGGGUGCGUAGGCGGCUGAUUAAGUCAGCGGUGAAAGACUUCGGCUUAACCGGAGCAGUGCCGUUGAUACUGGUUGGCUUGAGUGUCGGAGGGGUACAUGGAAUUGAUGGUGUAGCGGUGAAAUGCAUAGAUACCAUCAGGAACACCGAUAGCGAAGGCAUUGUACUGGCCGACAACUGACGCUGAUGCACGAAAGUGUGGGGAUCAAACAGGAUUAGAAACCCCGGUAGUCC